CAAUAGCGUAUAUUUACGUUGUUGCAGUUAAAAAGCUCGUAGUUGGAUUUCGGAUGGGAUUUGCCGGUCCGUCGUUACGAUGUGCACUGGCCAGUCCUAUCUUGUUGUCGGGGACUAGCUCCUUGGAUUCACUUCCUGGGACUAGGAGCUGACGAGGUUACUUUGAGUAAAUUAGAGUGUUCAAAGCAAGCCUACGCUCUGAAUACAUUAGCAUGGAAUAACACGAUAGGACUCUGGCUUAUCUUGUUGGUCUGUGAGACCAGAGUAAUGAUUAAGAGGGACAGUCGGGGACAUUCGUAUUUCAUUGUCAGAGGUGAAAUUCUUGGAUUUAUGAAAGACGAACUUCUGCGAAAGCAUUUGUCAAGGAUGUUUUCAUUA
rnacentral:rRNA from 1 species